UACGGAGGGAGCUAGCGUUGUUCGGAAUUACUGGGCGUAAAGCGCGCGUAGGCGGACCUGCAAGUCGGGGGUGAAAGCCCGAGGCUCAACCUCGGAACUGCCUUCGAUACUGCGGGUCUCGAGUCCGGGAGAGGUGAGUGGAAUUCCUAGUGUAGAGGUGAAAUUCGUAGAUAUUAGGAAGAACACCAGUGGCGAAGGCGGCUCAGCUGGCCCGGUACUGACGCUGAGGCGCGAAAGCGUGGGGAGCGAACAGG
rnacentral:rRNA from 1 species